GAAGUGACGCAAACCCGCGACGCCAGCGCUCGCCGUCCGCUGCUGCUGGAGUCAGAUUCAGUAGCUCCGGAGACGGCGGGCUUUCCCGGAUGGUUGCAGCGAAGGGAUCAUGACGGGGAAGAAAUCUUCCCGGGAGAAGCGGCGCAAACGAAGCGGCCAGGAUGCGUCCGCGGCACUCGCGGCCCCCGCGGCCCCGGACCUCGUACCGGUCCUUGCCAGCAGCGGCAGUGGAAGCACCAGCGGCUGCGGGAGCACCAGCGGUUGCGGGAGCGUCAGCUGCUGCGGCAACGCCAGCUUCAGUGGAAGUGUCACCGGCGCCGGGAGCGCAGGCAGCUGCUGGGGCGCUAGCGGCGCGGAUCGCGGCGAGCGCCGGAAACGGAGGAGCACCGACUCUUCUUCCAGUGUCUCGGGCUCUCUGCAGCAGGAAACCAAGUAUCUUUUGCCAACUUUGGAAAAAGAAUUAUUCUUGGCAGAGCACAGUGACCUUGAAGAAGGUGGACUGGAUCUGACUGUGUCAUUAAAACCAGUUAGUUUCUAUAUAUCAGACAAAAAAGAAAUGCUCCAGCAAUGCUUUUGCAUUAUAGGAGAGAAGAAGUUACAGAAGAUGCUUCCUGAUGUGUUAAAGAACUGUUCAAUAGAAGAAAUUAAAAAACUAUGCCAAGAACAAUUAGAACUCCUGUCUGAAAAAAAAAUCUUGAAGAUUCUUGAGGGUGACAAUGGUAUGGACUCUGAUAUGGAAGAAGAGGCAGAUGAUGGCUCUAAGAUGGGAUCUGACUUAGUCAGUCAACAGGACACCUGUAUAGAUUCUGCUUCGUCUCUGAGAGAGAACAAACAAUCUGAAGGUUUGGAAUUAAAACAAGGUACCUUGCAUGUGAUUUACGCAGUGAAUGGCCCUGCUUUUGGAGCAAGUUAAUGAUAUAAUAUCCCCAUUUAUAUUCAGAGCAGUCAACACUUCCUAGCUCUCAGAAUAAUAAAAGCACCUGCAUUUAAUAUACAUGGAAGAAUGGGAAGGAAAAUAGCAGAUAAGGCACAAUCAGCUUACCAGGUGCUGGGGAGGAUCGAAUGUGCAAGUUGCAAGAAGUGAAGCAGGCCCAGGUGCAGAAGGGCUGUAGUACACAUACAGCCAGCUGACAGUCUGCCCCAGCAUUGGCAUCCCCAACCACAGGAGGGCCCAGCUCCUUCGUGGAGGGAUCAGAAAGCACUGGAUCUUAUCUGCUAUAAUCGGAACAGGAUGUUUUAUGCCGAAAAUUGAACUGAUAGCUCUAUCUACUGAGAAGGCUUUUGUUCACUCUCUUGUUCCUCAAAUUGUAUGCUGUUUUGUUUUGUUUUAAGGGUGGCAGCCCUUGGCUUUGGCCAACCAGUGUUAAAUGAACUUCCACAAAUAUGAUUAUGAAUGAAAUGAAAUAACUGUCCAUUGCAUUUGGAAAUACUCUGUUUCUGUGGAAAUGGCUUUUCUCAAAGUACCUUAUUCUCUCCAUCUGCCUUAACUUAAACUGCCAUAACAAAAUGCUAUAGACCAGGUGGCUUAAAUGACAGAAACUUAUUUUCUUACAGUUCUGGAGGCUGAAAUCUGAGAUCAGAGUGACAGCAUGGUGGGAUUCUGGUGACAGCCUUAUUCCUGUCUUAGAGACAAUGUUCAUUUCACUGUGUGCUCACAUGACUUCUUCUUUGGGUAUGUAAGUGCAGAGACAGAGCAAACCAACACUUUGAUGUCCCUGUAUUAACCCCAUCAUGAGGGUCCCACCAUGUUGACCUUAUCUAAAUCUAAUUACUUCUGAAAGGUCCCAUCUCCAAAUGCCACAUUAGCAGUUAUGACUUCAACAAAUAAAUUUGUGUGGUGGGGAAUAUUUACAAUUUAGUCCAUAGUAUCACCCAAUUGUUUUAUCAUAGCAAAGUUAAUAAGGUUGGGACAAAGAGAACUGUCUUCAAAAUGUUGACAAGUCAGCCUUGGCAACUGAGCCAGACCUUGUCUCAAAAAAAAAAAAAAAAAAAAAGGUGUGGGGAGUUGCUGGGGAUAUAACUCAGUGAUAGGGUGCUCCUGGGUCAAUCACUGGUACUAAAAAAUCAAAAUAAAAAUAUUUAAAAAAGUAUUGACAUGAAGAGUAUUAGAAUAUUAGUAGUUCAGUCCUGUGUUAGAGAGCUUUGAGUUGUUGUGACCAAUAUGCCAAACAAGAACAACUUAGCGAAGGAAAAAUUAAUUUUGGUUCAUGGAGGUUCAGCUCAUGGUUAGCAGCUUCAUAGCUCUGGGCCCAAGGUGAAGCAGCACAUCAUAGUGGAAAGGUGAGACUGAGGAAAACUGCUUAUUUCAGAAAGCAGAGAGAACUUGAGUACAAGGAUCCAAGGGCACAUCCCCAGUGACUUCCUCCAGCCAUGCCUACCACCCAUUGAUGCAUUCAAAUUAUUACUCUCAAAUGGAUUAAUCCUCUGUUUAAAUUACAGCUAUCAUAAUUUGAUAACUUUACCUCUGAACAUUCCUGCAUUAUUUCACACAUGAGCUUUCCGGGGGACACCUCACAUGCAAACUAUAACAAAUCCAUAAUGGAGCAAAUAUCAGUUGAUUGAGAGUGUUGAUAGCCAUGUGCUUUGUCCUUUCUCACCCAUGCCCACACCCACACCCAUACUCAUGUAGCCCUACUGUACCUACUUUAGGUUUAUAUAGGAUGGGGUCAAUCACAGAAAAUGUCUGUGGCAGAAAUUAAAUGGAAAAAUAACAACUUUCAGGAUGCUUGUAGUGUCAGCAGUCUCUUGUGUUUUCUAUCCUUGCAGUAACACAGACUAAUCACUGAUUUCAGAAUGAUAAAUUAACCUACAGGGAGCAAAUUCAUUACCUAGGAAAUUUUCAGUAAUAUACUGAAUACCAAGGUUGGAAAAGAACUGAUUUUCAGAAGAUUUCUAAUAAAACAAGUUGAAAGCACAAAGGAGUUUGUGGAGAAUCAUGGGUUAAUUACAACACCCUGUUUCCCAAGCAUUUCAUCUUGUAUAAUGUUUGCUUUUGGAAGAUGGACUGAGAUUUACGUUUUACAGUUGAAAUACUGAGCUUCUUCAAGGUCAUGAGAUAAGAUUGAGAUUAUCAAUUUGAGCAUGAAUUGCACAAUAUUGAAAGUUGAAAAUGCUUCCCCCAAUAGCUUUUUGUUUUAUUUUUGCAUUUUUGUUGUAGCCUAUAAGGAACAAUCAAAGAAGCCUGUUGUUAUUAUUUUAACUUGUCAUUUUGUGAGUCUGGGCUAUGAAGAGCAAUGCUGGCCAUGUUAGAAAGAGAUGUAUCACUCUCUGAUUUAUGAUAGGCAGCUUAGAUAAAGCAUGAUCCAAGUUAUUUUAACUUCUAAAUUGAAAACCUUUUUUCUGCUUGAAGCCACAUUAAGAAGUAUUUCAUAAAUAGUGAUGGCGAUGAUGCAAUCAGCCGGUUUUUUUUCUGGUUCUGCCUGAAUUCCUCACCCUUUCAUCAGAUCCCUUUUCUUGUGGGACUAUGAUACUAUAGUCAGGAGUAACAGAACUAUCUGAAGUGUGGCCUGAGCUUCCAUUCAUCCUGAGUUUUUAGUUAUAGAUGUACUAUCUGUAGAUGGGGGUGAAGCAUAAAUCUUUCUAACUUAAGGCUGUGGCAUAUACAUUUGCCAUCACCAUCCUAUUUUGGAUAUAUGAGGUUCUGGUUUCUUAGAAAUGUUAGUGGGGAAAAAAUUCAGAACAAUAGAAGGAUUGGGGAGAACUAUAGAUUUGAGGACUCUCGCCGUUAAAGACAAUAAGAAUCAUCAUCCUGAUAGAAUCUGUGAUUACUUCCCAAAGCAGCAAAUGUUGUUCUUUUCCUCUGUAUAUAAUUUGUGUGGAAGAUUUUAGGUGACUAAAACAACAACAAAACUGAAAACAAAAACAAUAUUUCUUAGUUACCUUUUCAAUUAUAUUUUGAGUCCUUUACUCUCACCAAAGGAAAUACCCAAGUCCACCUUUGUUGAAUGCAUACCCCAAAAUAAACUUGGUACAUGUGAAGCUUCUGGAAUUAGAAAAAAAUUCAAUCUUUUGGUGCACCAGUUUUUGCUGCCUGUUCAUUGGGGGUCAUUUCACUUUUUGCUUUAGCUUUCUCAUUUUAAAAGUAGGAGUUUCUCAUGCCAUGCGACAUGUCUUGAUUUUUGCUUUGAAAGAUAGUCCAGUUCUCUCUGUAAUAACUGAAUUGGGGUUUCUAAUGUUCAUUACCACCAGAAAGUUGCUAACCUCCAAAAAGCCUGGAGAGAGGCCGUGGUAUCAAAGCUCACUUGUGAAACCAGCAGGGAAGCCCUUCCGAAGUCUGCAGAUUGUGAAUGUUGCCUGUAUAUGGCAGGUGUCUCUGGCCUGGAAUCUGGUGGCUGAGAAGUUAGCCUUGGGCCAGGCUAAAUCUAGAAGGAAAAAAAAAAAAGAUAAAAAAUUCAUUAAAAAUAAAAUGAAUAUAUUAUUUUAUGCCAGUUUUAAUACUUUACCCACUUCUUAGCUUAAUUCUAGAUAUCAGAAAAUUUUGUCAUGAUGUGGUGGGCACAUAAAUUGUUCAAUAUUUCUAUAAAAACAUUAUAAAAUACAUAAGUAGAUUUCCAAGGUACUUUGUUGGAGAUGAGAAAUUAUUAAGUAUCAAAAAUAAUUAGUGGAGAAAAAUCAUCUUAAAAUAUAGUAACUUUGCUGAAUAAUGAGUGUUACAAUUAACAUAUUCUACAAAUCUAUCAAUACUGUGGCUUCACAUGUCCUUGUUCAUCUCCAAAAUUAAUAAUGACAGACACCAAGACCCUAUUAAUAUUUUAAUAAUCUAAUAGGCACAGGCAAGCAUGCAGCAGAGAAGAAUGUCAAUCAGUGGCCAGAGCUAUUGAGACAUCUCAGGAGACUUCCAGGUGGGUGAGCUAAGUCCUCAUAAUUCUUUUCUUCAUUCUUCCUGGGUUCAUUUUCCUAGCAUCAUCCAGUUUCAGCAGCUGUUCUAAUUUUGAGCAGAAGAAUGAUGUGCUUAUAAAAGACAAAACUGUGGGCUAGGGCUAUAGCUCAGUGACAGAGCUGCUUGCCUAGCAUAUGUUAAGCACCAGGUUUGAUCCUCAGCACCACAUAAAAAUAAACAAAUAAAAUAAAGGUUUUCUGCCCAUCUACAACUAUAAAAAAAAUUUAAAAAAAGACAAAUCUCACAAGAAUAUUUAGGAUUCUUUAUGUCCACUGUAUAUUUUAAGGAAUACUAAUGUUCAUGUCAGUUUGUAUCUUUAAAUGCUGUCAUCUGGAAAAUAAUAGGAGCUUUUAUAAAUAAUAUAUAUUUGGGAGUUUGAAGAAAUAGAUUUUCUCUGAUUUUAGCAUGAGCAGUCUCCUUGCUCUAAUCAUUUCCAAAUUCGUCUUCACUACAAAUUAUGUAGCAUGUAUAGACUACUAUGGAUUCUAGAAAGAAUAAAACUCAAAUGAAAGGAGGAAAAAAAACAGUGACCAACACAUAUAAAGUGCUUAGAGGGUAGUGCCCCACCCAAAGAAGGUCCUUCACAAUGUUAGCUUCCUGUUCUUUUUGCUUCUGAGAGGCUCAUUUCCACAGGAAAUGAUGCUUGACUUUCCUAUGUUGCACACAAUCUAUUUUGUAGCUCUCAUAAAAUUUUCCUGAGUUUAGAGUUGAAGAUUUAUUAAUAGUUCCAUCUUGCAAGAACAUGUCCAUAUAAUUUGUUGCCAAUACAGGUUGUUCUUCAGAGGAGGAAGGUCCCUGCUGGGGGUUAAGUCUGGAUGGUUUUGAAGAAUCAUUUGUUGGAGACCACACAGGACCAGAGAGAUCACACUACAGAGACUGAAUUUCAAAUCUAAAUACCACUACUGAUCUCUAGAACAAGGUUGGGAGAGACGUGGGGGAGAAGCCCGUAGAAAAGACAUGAUUUCAGAGAAAAGGGAAUUUUUGCCAGGAACCCAGAAUCAAUAUGACCAUCCCAUAACCCACACCCCCAAACACAGGUUUGAUACCAACUUCUGGAAUCUGCAUAAGGCCACAAUUCAUUCUGUUCUUAGAGGCUUCUGACACUUGAGCCAGUGAUGAUUUAUUUUUUAAUCCCACCUGAUUGUAGUUAGGGCUCACAGGCAAGAAAUAAAUUUCUUCUCACUGUUUUAAAAAAUAUUUUCUUAUAAUUUAAAGGGCUGAUUUUUGCUUUCCUUUUCACUCUGCUGCCAGGUUGCCUGACUAGGAUUUUUCUCUCUAUAGCCCUACCCAACACCUACCCUAAUGUGCUUGCUAUAUUUUCUGAUAAUUCUCAUGGUUUCAGUCCUCACCAGAUUUCACUAAGCUGUUGUGCCACGCACAUAUUAUUGGAACUAGCUCCCUUCUUGUUCCUGCAUGUCAAUCCCCUAUUCUUCCUCAGGGUCUACUCCAGCAUCAACUCUCAGUGAAGUUUUCUCUUCCUUCUUGGGUCCAUUGAGUUCUGUUCUUUUUAAUUCCACAGCACAUUGAACAAAGUGUAUGCACAGAGUUGUACUGAUCUGUAGGCGUGCUUGUCUUCUUCAGCGUACCACGUAGGCUUCUUGAUGACAAGGACUACUCCACUGGUUUUUAUGUGCCUGAUGCAUAGUGGGUGCUGAUGGAGCAUAUGCUGAACAAAGGUUUGACAUGUUCUCUUUUGUUAACAUGCAAGAAAAUAACUUGACAUCAGUAGGGAGCUUGGGACAUGAAAGAAAUUAGUGUAAAGAAUAAAUGUUUACCUUUCACUGUGUGCUUAAGACAUGGAAAGCUACAUAUAUUUAAUAAAUGUAGGUAAAAAUAAUUGGUUUGGUGAUGGUAAUGGAGCAGUCAUUGUGGUGUGGGGUAAGGAGGUAGAGCAAGAGCACUGGUCACAGGGUUCUAGGCAUAGCUUUGCCAGAGAACCUUGCCACCUCAGUUCUUUCUUGACCUAAUUUUUUCAUCUUGUGGAAUAGAAAGACAGGAGGAAGUAAUCUUACAUGAAUUUAAGGUAAUUCAAGCCCUAAAACUAUCAUCUAGCAUAGUGGUAGCAGUUAAGAAAUGCCAAGCACUGCCACAAAGUCCUAUCUCUGUACCCCCACACAAAGAUACUUGAACAUUUCUUGUGUCCUAUUCAGAUUUGGAGUCUUCUAGACAUUUUUCUUUUCUUCUUCUCCUUCUUCUUUUUUUUUUUUGAUAUAUAUUUUUAGUUGUAGAUGGACACAAUACCUUUAUUUUAUUUAUUUGUUUAUUUUUAUGUGGUGCUGAGAAUCGAACCCAGUGCCUCACGCGUGCUAGGCAAGCCACUCUACCACUGAGCCACAACCCCAGCCCUAGGCACUUUUUCUUAAUUUCUUCCUUUUGUGCUCAUUGCCCCCUUCCUCCAGGCCUAUGUGUUUUGCCUUGAAGUUGUAGAGCAAUUGGAACAUAGUGCAGUAUUAUGUGGCUCUUCAGUUCUUCCUUCAGGGUGGCCUUGUGCACCUCUCUACUACCCCUUUACUCAUUGCUCCUCACACAAAUCUUGGCCUCUCUCCAGCAAACUUAUUUCCAUCAGGCCCAGACAAGAUUUUUAAGGUCUUUCAGGGCGUUUUGCUCUUAUUUUCUGUGCAAAAGCUAUGUUGCCAGAGAACUCUCAGAUCAUUUCCCCAUCAGUUUACUUCCCUUUUUUCUAUUUUCUUAGAACCCACUUUUAAUAUGAUGAUAGCACUGAGUACUGUUUGCUGAAGGUUUACUGUGUGUUUGUAUUGUGAUGGGGGUUUACAUACAUGCCUGAUUGCUUACAUCACUAAACCUUUCCAUUGUUCCUGAAGGAUGAAAUAUAAUCAUUUUGGAGAUGAGAAUAUGUUCUCAGAUUUUUUGAAUAACUUGCCAGGAUUGUCUGACUCCAAAGCCAAUGCAGUUUUCACCAUAUCAUGCCAUGUCCUAGCAUAUGUAGGUCCUCUUCAGUUUUUUGUUUUGUUCAUGUCAGUUUUUUAUUGGUUUCAGAAACAAUUAUAUCACCAAUAAGAAAAGACUUUCACCUCACCUCAGCACAUAGAAGUUUGUGUUUUGUUUUUUCUUAUGUUUUUCUACUCUUUGUUUAGAGUCACAUAUAUUUUAAAGAGUAUGACCAUAAUGUGGAAUUCGAUAUUAUUAUAUUAAUACAAAUUCUUCAAGUAUUUUUUGUUAUCUUUUUUCAUGUUAUCAUUUUAAUGGCUGUAUAAUUUUAAUCAGAUUGGUUUAUCAUAGUUUCUUAAAAAGUUUAAUACUGCAAAACAUAUAGAUUAUUUCCAUUUUAUACUAUGAUAAAUUAUAAUAAUGAUAUUUAUGUACUUUUUAAAGAUAAAUGGUAGUACAUUGACUUUUUUAAAUAUUUUUUUUUUAGUUGUCAGUGGACCUUUAUUUUAUUUAUAUGUGGUGCCGAGAUUCAAACCCAGUGCCUCACACAUGCUAGGCAAGCACUCUACCACUGAGCCACAACCCUAACCCUACAUUGACUUUUAAGAAACUUUUUAUUAUGGAAAUAUUGAUGUAUUUAUAAGAGAGCAGAUAGGUCCUACUUGGACCUAUCAUCCAGUUUCAACAAUGGUAAUCAACAUUUUGUUCAUCUUGUUUCAUCUAAUCACCUUUUUAUUCAGAGUAUUAAAGAAAAUUUCAAAUAUCUUGCUAUUUCACUUGUAAAUACUUCUGGAUACAUUUGUAAUGGAUAAGGCCUCUUUACUAAGGUUAUCUAGUAUUCUAUGAUCUCCAUUAAGGUCUAUGUUUAAAUAUUCACAUUUAGUUGGUACAAAUUAGGAUCCAAAUAUAGCCCACACAUUGCAGUUGAUUGUUACCUCUUUAAAGUUUCAUUCAUCCUAAAGAGUACACACACACAAAGACACACACUUUUUUAAUGCCAUCAAUUUGUUGGAUAAAACAGGUCAUGAGUCUAUAUAGUAUUCCAACAGUCUGUUGUUGAUUGUCUUUUUAAGGUAUCAUUUAACUUCUUUAUCUACUCUAUUUGUUUUGAUUGUGGUUAGAUAUAAAAAGUUUAAUUAGACUACAGCUCAGGCUGGGGAUACAGCUCAUUGGUAGAGUGCUUCCUUCGUAUGUACAAGGCCCUGGGUUCAAUCCCCAGCACCACCAAAAAAAAGAGAGAGAGAGAGAGAGAGAGAGAGAGAGACAGACAGACAGACAGACUACAGCUCAUUUUUUAAGGAAGAAUACUUGGUAAGUAUGGUAUUUUUUAAAAUUUGAUAUCAACUUUAACAGAACAUUUUACCCCUUCAUAAGAUCUUUUUUUCCUUGUUCUUCUAGAAAGCCUCUUAUGUAGGCAGCCUCUCCAAACUUAAAGCCCAUUCAUGUUGAGUCAUGUGACUGGAUCCCUGCUGAUACAAGCUUCUGUUCUAGGGUACUGAAACCAGUUUUAUUUUAGCCCCUUCAACCUUGGCAGAAAACUAAGAAUUGCCUGAAAUACUUUUGAAAGCUAUUGGAAGCCCAAGAAAAACCUGGAUUUGAAAAAGAGAUAAUUGAGAAUUGAGGAAGGAUGCUUCAACCUUCGACAUUGAAUAUACUGGUUCACAGGCUGAGACAGGACCAUCCUCUUGGCUGCCUUUACAGGUCAGGGAAGGGCUGAGACAAUACACCUGUUUUCUGCUUCUAAACUCUUUGACUUUAGGUUAGUUUAAAUGAAGUUUCUCUUGGUAGAAUGUAAAUAUGGAAGGCUAUCAUAUACAACAGCGAGCUCUGUGUCUGUCUCCAUCAUAGUGAUUCCCUGGGCACAAUAAGAAAGCCAUGGCUGGAAUGUGGGGAUGUGGUGUUCCUAUCUCCUUAUAACACAUUCUCCCUUGUAUUUUAUGUGGUGUUUGAGGCAUCUCUUAAGGCCACAUAAUAAGAAGUUUCCCACCAAACAAAGCAAAGGAAUAUCCAUGAUGUGAGGCUCCCAGCAUUGUCUAAGACUUAAGAAGGCAGAAUAAUUCUUUUCUUUUUCUCUGGAUCCCAGAAAGUAAAAACCAUGUAUGGUUUUUCCCCUUAGGUUAUUAGACAAAGUCAGAUCUUCCAAAUCUUGGUUUGCCUGACCAUUCAAAUCCACUACAUCUUCACACUGUUGGUAAAGACCUAGCAUCACUGGGAAAGAAGAUGUAAGGUACCUUUGCAACCUUCUCCACCAACCUUAAAACUGGAAAUGCUCGAUUGAGGUGCCAUUAUAUUUUUCAGAUAUAUGCCAGAGGCAGUUCUAAGAAUGUAUUAAUAGGAUGGAGAUAGCUCAAGACAAGAGCUUCAGAGAGAAAAGAGCUGUGAAGUGCUUUAUUUAAGAGGGUGGCCUUUCUUUUGGGACUAGAUUCAAGUAUCUUACUUUGUCCUUUUUAUCUUAUUGGACAGGCUAUGUAAUAGAGACUUUGAAUUUUGACUUUGAGCUGUAGAAACACAGAAACUUUCCUCAUUCUUUUAACUUCUGGUUGCUCAUUUUAUUCAUUACUAUUUUAUGGUGUAGGCAACGUCACUGGAAGGUCAGUCACAGAAACUGAGAAUCCAAGAAUAGAGAAAAACUCUGAACAUAAAACAUUGUUUAAUUCUAUGUUUUUAAUUAAAAUUAUUUUAUUUACUUAAUCUUUGCCCAAUUUAAGAUAGAAUGUUAAACAUUUUUUUUUUCUGUUAAGGAAUGACUUUGUCAUAUAUGAGCUGUUUUUGAGAAUCCUUAUUACUCUUGUGUUUUCCUAAUGUGCUUCUUCAGGCAUAGGAAGCAAUUCUUUCUCUUUUCUUUAGAAUAUUUAUAAGUUUUUAAGUGGACAUUCUGAUAAGCCAUAUUCUAUUUGCAACAUUCCUUCUUUGGUCAUAUGGUCCUUAUUGCUCCUUUGAUUAUUCUAUAAUGUGUGUGUAGUAAGUAUAGGAUUAAUGGAUUCAAUGGAGUAUAGGCAAACUAUAGUAAAUGAGAGGCUGGAACAGCAUCUUAUUUCUUUUUGUUUUGAGCAAUAAGGAAAAAAGCAAAAUUGAAAGAAAGAUAAUGCUUUAGGCUUGAGUUUAUACAAAAAAAACUACAGCAGUUUAAAGUUUCUUUUAAACGUUCUUGUUCAGCAAUUCUUAGAGAGUGGAGUGUUUAUUAGACAAGCUCCAACUCUUUAAUACUUUUACCUUGUACAUGAUGGAACUGAAGUUCCUGUGGUUUUUCUAGAUCAAAUGGAUACUUAGUUGGUAAGUCUACUUAAGUUUCUCCCCUAAUAUCGAUGUUUGUUAAACUUAAUCAACAUUGAGUAAGAAUGGCAAAUGUUUACCUUAGAAAAGAUUAAACUAAGUUUUCACUUGAAUUGCCUUUCUAUCAAGGAAUAUUUCUCAUUUUAUAAGAAAUCUUAGUUUCAUUUUCAACAUUGUCACUUCAUUCUGUUAUGGGUAAAUACUAGAACUUCAAAAUGGUAAGCCCCUAUUAUAUGAUAUAAGACUAUAAAUGCUUUUGCUGUACCUUCUAAAAUGCAAGGUGAGUACUUCUAGGUUGUUUUUCCUGAGUUUUCAACAGCAUUGAAUAUAUAUACACCCACCAAUACAGGGAGGACAAAAAUUAUUUAAAUGUAAAUGAAGAAGGUUGGUGACUAUUUCAAAGGUGAGUCAUGAAUCUUUUGUCCCUCAGAUUCUCUAGAUAAAAAAUAUGAAUAAGUUGGCUCCAAAAAUUGUAAAUCUGCCUCUUAUUUGAGACCUGGUAUGCAUGUUGCUCUUGCAGGUGCUGAUUCAGGUUUUGUCUUUUCCUUUCAAUGUCCUCCAUGUGUUCAAUUAUCUUCUCCUGGCACUCUACUUUUGGAGAGAAGCUUUGUAGAGCCCAGAGGCACCAUUUUCUUUUGUCUUAUGUUAAAUUGCUGUGCCCAGUCCUUCCCUGUGAAUACAUACAAUUUGUAAGCUGAGCAGUUCGUAUGGGCUCCCUAGCAAUGUUCAGUCCAUAUUCAAUUCUUUCUAUUGCAUAGGCAGUUUGGGCUUUUAAGCAAAUAAGGGAAUAAAUUUAUAUAAAUAUUAUAUAUAUAUAUAUAUAUUAUAUAUAUAUAUAUAAUAUAUAUUAUAUAUAUAUUAAGUUAAAAAAUAAAAGCUUGACUAUCAGACAUGAAUCAGAUGUGCUAUACAGACUAAUCCGUUAUUCGAGCUUAUCUGGAACUGCAUGAAUUAAUCUUAAUCAUGUCUAUUCUUUUAAAAAUAUCAACAGUUAAAAAUUGCAUGUCUUAUUAUUAAAAAUGGUUUUGGAGCUGAGAUAUAAUCUCCUAAAUGAAGGAAUAAAAAUAAGAGCAGGAUGAGCCAGCAACCAUUUUUCUUCCUAAAAAUUUAAAAUAAAUGGAGAUCAAGGAAUGUUAGACAUUGUUAAAUAAAUCAGAGGUCUUGUGACAUUUCUGAUAUUUUAUUAACAAAAUUUUGAUUUGAUUUAUCUCUUUAAAAUAACUAGCAAGGUAUUCUCUAAGUGCUAAAACAUAAAUUACAAAUGCAAAAGCUUGAUUUAUGUUAAUGGUUGAUAAUGUGUAGGGCAUGGCAAAUGAUCACAGGUUCUGCAAUAUUCCCUGAAUGGAAGGAUAGAUUCAGAAAAGUACUAAAGAAAGUGCUGCCUUAGGCUCCAUUUGUUGAUAUAUAGAUGAUGGCUGUCUUGUAAGAAAUGAUAUAAUCUUGAUGAUGUGAACUUUCACUUCCAUUUCAGACAUCUCCAGAUUUUAGUGAAAUCUGCUCGACAGUUCUGAGUGCUGCCCUGUCUCUAUGAUGGAUCAGAAAUGUGCAGAUCUCUACAAGGAUAGCAUAGGAAUUUAAAAAAAAAAAAAAAAAAAGUCUGACUACUACUUAGGUAAUAUUUGGUCUUUCUGAUCUCUUGCAGUAAUAUUUACAUUUUUAUAUUUCUCAACAUACCUUCCUUUCCCCCACCUCUUAGACCCUGAAUAACACCAGCUGAAUUGCCAAUUCCCAAUUCUAUGUCAAUCCGAGAUAUGCCUUCUCUAGAUUACUUGGGUUGCUCAGUAUUUUAAGAAAAACCACAUGAUCCUGAAAAUUGGAACUGCUCCACAUUUUUAUUUUCCAGACUCAAGUAUGUUUGUUCCGUCUGCAUCAUUUAGCCAUCUUCUUGUGCUGUGUAUGGUUGUCCCCUUCUGAUCCUGUAUGUCUCCCCUUAAAUGUGACUCACUCAGAGAAUCCUUCCCUGACCUUCUUAUCUAAGUAGGUUCCUUCUCACACACUGCUCUGUUUAUUUCAUGACACUUUACACUCUACAAUUCUGUUUUGGUGUUCAUCUAACUUGUCUGUCACAACAACAAAAUUUCUUGUGCCCAGGGACAGAAUCUAUGUUAGUAAUUGGAGUAGUGGUGUAGUUAUUGGCAUGUAGCAAGCACUCAGGAAAAAAAAAAAUCAUUAGAUAAAUAAGUAAAUUGUAAGAAUUCAUUUGAAAAAAAUAAACAUUUUAAAAACUACUGAUUUUUACAGUGCUGCUUUUUUUUUCUUUUUUAAUUUUUUAUUGUUGGCUGUUCAAAACAUUACAUAGUUCUUGAUAUAUCAUAUUUCACACUUUGAUUCAAGUGGGUUAUGAGCUCCCAUUUUUACCCCAUAUACAGAUUGCAGAAUCACAUCAGUUACACAUCCAUUGAUUUACAUAUUGCCAUACUAAGUGUCUGUUGUGUUCUGCUGCCUUUCCUAUCCUCUACUAUCCCCACUCCGCUCCCCUCCCCUCCCCUCUUCUCUCUCUGCCCCCUCUACUGACAUUCAUUUGUCCCCCUUGUAUUAUUUUUCCCUUUCCCCUCACUUCCUCUUGUAUGUACUUUUGUAUAACUCUGAGGGUCUCCUUCCAUUUCCAUGCAAUUUCCCUUCUCUCUCCCUUUCCCUCCCACCUCUCAUCCCUGUUUAAUGUUAAUCUUCUUCUCAUGCUCUUCAACCCUACUCUGUUCUUAGUUACUCUCCUUAUAUCAAAGAAGACAUUUGGCAUUUGUUUUUGAGGUACAGUGCUGCUUUUGAAGGAAUGUAGCCAUAAGCCCAAGAGAUAUUCUUACAGCUGUUAGGUUGCAUUCCCUUUCAAAUAAACUUCGCCUGCCUGUGGUGGUUGAAUGAAGAGACCCUUGUGUUCUGAAUUGGGAACUCACAGCAGUUGUCCAGCUUUUGUAAUAGCAGCUCUCAGCCUCCCUUUGUCUGCAGGUGCACACAGACCGGUGCUGUUAACAUGUGCCAUCUGAACACACCCAGGGUGGUUUGUGAUUCCCAGAGCCCAGACUGAGACUCACCUCUUUCCUCCCAAUUCCAGAAAUCACAUUGGGAUGUAAGUGAGUGAGUUUAAGUCUUUACAGAAAUUGUCUUGAAUCUAUUCAAGUGUGUAUCAAAAGGCAAAAGACAAACCAAUUAUAAAUUUUAGGGCUCUUUUUUAGUAGUAGUAAAUUACCUGCUAUAUACUUUGCAACUAGUCAGUACACGUCAGUGUGUCAUGAUACAUAAUUUUUGAAUUGGUGUUUCAGAAGUUGGUCUCAAACCUCUGGGGAAAAUUUUAUUAUUUAUGUAACUUUUGGGAAAGAAGAAAAUGCAUAUAGUUAAGAGCAAAAAGUGGCAACCCUAUAGGAGAGGAACUCAUGAAAAUAAUAUUUACAAUAAAGCCUAUACUGAUACUUGAUAGGUGUUGACUUGCAAACCCUCUCAAUGAUUAACAUAAAAUGCUUAUUAAAUAAGAUGAGCCAUAUAAAAUGUAAAUAUUAGCAUCUUUAGUCUCAAAAUGCAAUUUCAUAUAGCCCAAACCAAUAAAUUUGUUAAUAUUUUCUAUUGUUUAUUUAAAAUGCACUUGUAAGUUCUGGCAAAAGAAGAAGAGUAAAUGUGUCACAGUAGAUCAGAUAGAGGUGAUGGGAGGGGAGGGGAGGGGGGGAUAGGAAGGGCAGCAGAAUACAACAGACACUAGUAUUGCUGUAUGUAUAAAUGUGGCUGUAUAACCAAUGUGAUCCUGCAAUCUGUACACAUGGAAAAAUAAGAAUUCAUACCCCAUUUGAAUCAAAUGUAUGAUAUGUCAAGAUCAUUGUAUUGUCUUAACAACCAAUAAUAAAAAAAAAAGAACUAAAGUUUUAGACCAAUACAACUCACUCUUAAAACUAAAGGUGAACUGAGUUUCCAUUCUAGCUCAUAGUUUCUUGGGAGAGAAAUGAUUACUCUAUAUAAAACAAGGUUUUUUAAAAUAAUGAAAUAGAAUAGUGAUAUGUGGGCAACUACAUAAUUAUGUAAAUUACAUAGUUAAAUCAAGUCCUGUUUUAAUGAUAGAAAGAAGACAAGCUUACUUCUAUGAAAGAUCUCAUUUCCACCAUUGGUUAUAGCUGCUCAAUGUAACUACAGUCCUUUGGCUCUUAUUGGCUGGGUGAAAGAAGCAGUGUUGAAUUAACAUUAUCAUGUUACUGUCAGCAUGUGAGAUUUGCCUGCAGUCCCAGCAUUUUUAGAACAUUUGAUGUUAGUUGUGUAACACUGGAAUAAAAUUUGCAAAAAAAAAAAAAAAAAAAAAGAAGAAGAAGAAGAAGAAG